CAAUAACUAAGCUUCAAGCUUUUUCACACCUAAAGAAGUCAAGCCACAAAUAAUCCAUUAAAAAUUUGUAUAUCUAUAGAAGUUAUCAGUAUGCCUCGCAAGGAAUACGGAAUGGUGGAUCCAAAGAUUCCCUUCCCUUGCAAGGCCCUGUACAGAGAAAUAGUAAACGGCGAGGAAUCCGUACUCGUUGACUGGGGACGUUCAAGGCUUGACAAUUGACAUUGACCAAUACUUCGCUACCGAUGGCUGGAUCCCCCCGCUGUUUGAUCCAGCAAUUCGCCAAGAAGCUCCGGAAGGAACAUAUGACUUGGAAAAACACCAUCAACGAGUUUAAGCGGCAGCGGUACGAGUCCGAUCGCACCACGAUUGGAAAUUAUACCGCUGCCCGUGGUGCCGAUAUUACGACGCCAUUCCGCGGUUCCGAGAGAGCGUGCUGGUGCAUAUGCACGGGAUAGCAACGGGGAACCCGGAAAACCAGCGGCCCGUAAAAGCACCACGUAAAAGCACACUGACACAUAUAUGCAGAAUCCUUGGAGUGUGCACAAGUCUGGUUCAAAACAGCACAGAUAACACUUAGAAUGAUUCCCGUAAUUCUUCAUUCUGCACCCAAAGCUGCGCAGAAGCCACUUUUUUUCCCGACAAUCCAAAAUCAAAGGAUGGAAAACUUCGAAAAUUCUCAAAAUGUGAGCCGAAUCACGAUGCCACACCGGGCGGUGCCACCUGCGUCGAGCGUCGGAAGUCCCAAAAAUUCAUUACUGUAAAAUUACUGUAAUUCGCUGCUCCCUGCGUAACAUUUCACCUGAAUUUGAGACGCGUCAUCAUAAAGUAGCGGUUUUUUCACUUGGUAAGCACGGAGCUUUUUAUACAAGCAGAAUAAUAAAGAAUAAAA